ensembl:scaRNA
AUGGUCUGGCCUUGUACCAGGCAGCCCAACCCUGACCUAAGUAAAUUCCCAGGAACGGUUUUUCCUAGGGUUUGAGUUUGCAGUAACCGGUGUGAACACUAGCAGCAGUUUGAUGAUGAUGUAUGAUAUUGCAAAUAGGA